AUCUUGUACUGAAUCCAUAGGUGCAAGAGGCGAACCAGGGGAACUGAAACAUCUAAGUACCCUGAGGAAAAGAAAUCAACCGAGAUUCCCUUAGUAGUGGCGAGCGAACGGGGAUUAGCCCUUAAGCUUCAUUGAUUUUAGCGGAACGCUCUGGAAAGUGCGGCCAUAGUGGGUGAUAGCCCCGUACGCGAAAGGAUCUUUGAAGUGAAAUCGAGUAGGACGGAGCACGAGAAACUUUGUCUGAACAUGGGGGGACCAUCCUCCAAGGCUAAAUACUACUGACUGACCGAUAGUGAACCAGUACCGUGAGGGAAAGGCGAAAAGAACCCCGGAGAGGGGAGUGAAAUAGAACCUGAAACCGUAUGCGUACAAGCAGUGGGAGCCUACUUGUUAGGUGACUGCGUACCUUUUGUAUAAUGGGUCAGCGACUUAUAUUCAGUGGCAAGCUUAACCGUAUAGGGUAGGCGUAGCGAAAGCGAGUCUUAAUAGGGCGUUUAGUCGCUGGGUAUAGACCCGAAACCGGGCGAUCUAUCCAUGAGCAGGUUGAAGGUUAGGUAACACUGACUGGAGGACCGAACCCACUCCCGUUGAAAAGGUAGGGGAUGACUUGUGGAUCGGAGUGAAAGGCUAAUCAAGCUCGGAGAUAGCUGGUUCUCCUCGAAAGCUAUUUAGGUAGCGCCUCAUGUAUCACUCUGGGGGGUAGAGCACUGUUUCGGCUAGGGGGUCAUCCCGACUUACCAAACCGAUGCAAACUCCGAAUACCCAGAAGUGCCGAGCAUGGGAGACACACGGCGGGUGCUAACGUCCGUCGUGAAAAGGGAAACAACCCAGACCGCCAGCUAAGGUCCCAAAGUUGUGGUUAAGUGGUAAACGAUGUGGGAAGGCUUAGACAGCUAGGAGGUUGGCUUAGAAGCAGCCAUCCUUUAAAGAAAGCGUAAUAGCUCACUAGUCGAGUCGGCCUGCGCGGAAGAUGUAACGGGGCUCAAACCACACACCGAAGCUGCGGGUGUCACGUAAGUGACGCGGUAGAGGAGCGUUCUGUAAGCCUGUGAAGGUGAGUUGAGAAGCUUGCUGGAGGUAUCAGAAGUGCGAAUGCUGACAUGAGUAACGACAAUGGGUGUGAAAAACACCCACGCCGAAAGACCAAGGGUUCCUGCGCAACGUUAAUCGACGCAGGGUUAGUCGGUUCCUAAGGCGAGGCUGAAAAGCGUAGUCGAUGGGAAACAGGUUAAUAUUCCUGUACUUCUGGUUACUGCGAUGGAGGGACGGAGAAGGCUAGGCCAGCUUGGCGUUGGUUGUCCAAGUUUAAGGUGGUAGGCUGAAAUCUUAGGUAAAUCCGGGGUUUCAAGGCCGAGAGCUGAUGACGAGUCGUCUUUUAGAUGACGAAGUGGUUGAUGCCAUGCUUCCAAGAAAAGCUUCUAAGCUUCAGGUAAUCAGGAACCGUACCCCAAACCGACACAGGUGGUCGGGUAGAGAAUACCAAGGCGCUUGAGAGAACUCGGGUGAAGGAACUAGGCAAAAUGGCACCGUAACUUCGGGAGAAGGUGCGCCGGCUAGGGUGAAGGAUUUACUCCGUAAGCUCUGGCUGGUCGAAGAUACCAGGCCGCUGCGACUGUUUAUUAAAAACACAGCACUCUGCAAACACGAAAGUGGACGUAUAGGGUGUGACGCCUGCCCGGUGCCGGAAGGUUAAUUGAUGGGGUUAGCGCAAGCGAAGCUCUUGAUCGAAGCCCCGGUAAACGGCGGCCGUAACUAUAACGGUCCUAAGGUAGCGAAAUUCCUUGUCGGGUAAGUUCCGACCUGCACGAAUGGCGUAACGAUGGCGGCGCUGUCUCCACCCGAGACUCAGUGAAAUUGAAAUCGCUGUGAAGAUGCAGUGUAUCCGCGGCUAGACGGAAAGACCCCGUGAACCUUUACUGUAGCUUUGCACUGGACUUUGAGCCUGCUUGUGUAGGAUAGGUGGGAGGCUUUGAAGCGUGGACGCCAGUUCGCGUGGAGCCAUCCUUGAAAUACCACCCUGGCAUGCUUGAGGUUCUAACUCUGGUCCGUGAUCCGGAUCGAGGACAGUGUAUGG
rnacentral:rRNA from 1 species